UUGGRGGGCAAGUCUGGUGCCAGCAGCCGCGGUAAUUCCAGCUCCAAUAGCGUAUAUUAAAGUUGUUGCAGUUAAAAAGCUCGUAGUUGAAUUUCGGGGUUAGUAGGUUGGUCAUGCCUCUGGUAUGUACUGGUCUUACUGAUUCCUCCUUCCUGAUGAACCUUAAUGCCAUUAAUUUGGUGUUUUGGGGAAUUUGGACUGUUACUUUGAAAAAAUUAGAGUGUUUAAAGCAAGCUAACGCUUGAAUACAUUAGCAUGGAAUAAUGGAAUAGGACGUUCGAUCCUAUUUUGUUGGUUUCUAGGAUUGACGUAAUGAUUAAUAGGGAUAGUUGGGGGCAUUAGUAUUCAAUUGUCAGAGGUGAAAUUCUUGGAUUUAUUGAAGACUAACUACUGCGAAAGCAUUUGCCAAGGAUGUUUUCAUUAAUCAAGAACGAAAGUUAGGGGAUCGAAGACGAUCAGAUACCGUCGUAGUCUUAACCAUAAACUAUGCCGACUAGGAAUCAGACGAUGUUAAUUUUUUAAUGACUCGUUUGGCACCUUACGGGAAACCAAAGUGUUUGGGUUC
rnacentral:rRNA from 1 species